CUUAAAAAGAUGAUAUUCCAAGAGAUCCCCCUUUUAGGAUCUCCAUUCUGCUCAGCAAAGAUUGUAAACACUUUUUCUACACUACAAUGGGUAUUCUGCAUAGGCUAGUUCUCUUAACAAAGUGCUAUUACUUUAGCCUUAUCUGUGCUGGGAAUGAUGGGAAAGGCUCAGAUCGGAGUAGUCAGUUAGCAGGCUUUGUGUGACAGAGUAAACACAGUAGCUUGUGUUUAUCAGCGAUGCUUCCUCAGAAGUGGCCACAAUAUAGACAGUUGCCAGGGGCCAUCACUCCAGAAGCACCCUUUGUAUCAGAUGUCUGAAAGCCUAGGUGUCCUGAAGCUAGACUGGACAGCUGGUGUCUAUACAGUGAAACAUAUUGUCCUUCUGGCACUAAUUAUAGGAAUUUAUGCACGUCUUAGGUGAUGGUUGUCACUGGAACUCACUCUUCAAGUAUAGCCACAGUUGACCUGUACAUGAUGUGAAAGGAAGAUAAGCUCUUCCUCCAUAGUACACUCUAUGUAGGACUGCUUUUUCUGGAUGGCCACAGGGUUGAAAGCAUCCUCUGCCAGUGUUGGUAAGAAGAACCCAUCUUAGAAGGUCCAAGGCCCAUGAGAGUACAUAUGUCUAUGUUAGAGUGCACAG
rnacentral:lncRNA from 1 species